rnacentral:lncRNA from 1 species
GAGGCCACCCUGACGGCAGCCGCCCCAAACGCUGUCUUUCUGGCCUCAGGGUGACCUUGAGCGGUCCUGUUGCGGUACGCAGGCCGGGAGAGGCCCGAGGACGUGUGGCAGGGUACCAGGGUCCCCUCGCCCAGGCCUGGUGACGACUCCCACGUCCAGGUGGCGUGGCCACCACCUCCCAGAGCGGACCCUGGGAAGAGACCCGGCUAAGGCGUAAACGGGCACGGUGUCAACGUAUUCCCUGUAGCUGGGCGCUCCCCUCCUACCCACGGUUGGAUGACCACGGGGCCCGCGAAACCCCCGCUCUGCGGGUGGACCCCAAGUGAGCAGCACAGGUCGACAUCCGCUGACGGCGCACACGGUGCCUGCGUCACACCACCACGAGCCUUAUCAAUAUUCCCAUUUCACGGAGGCAGAAACCGAGACCUAAAAAGGUUAGUUUCUCGUCCAAAGCUGCAUAACAACAGGUAAAUCUGGAAACUAAGCUAAAAUAUAUUAUUUUUGAGCUGAUCGAACUCGAGACCUUUCCCUUGGGAGGCAGGCGGUGGAACC